rnacentral:misc_RNA from 1 species
GUUUAUGCAGGUGCAAAUGGUAAUCCGUCAUCUGCUUACUGCGGUACAGGAUCAUUGGCAAAUGUUGAUGUCAAAGGCAGGAUAGUGCUGUGUGAGGGAGGGUAUGGAGCAUUGGAGAAAGGCCAAGAAGUGAAAAGAAACGGAGGCAUUGCCAUGAUUUUAAUGAAUGAAGAGUCUGAUGGCUUUGUGACCACCGCGGAUCUUCAAGUGCUCCCUGCAUCACAUGUAAGUUACAUGGCAGGAUUAGCAAUCAAAGCCUACAUAGAGUCCACAUCAUCGCCAAUGGCUACAAUCUUGUUCAAAGGAACUGUAACCGGCUUGCCAGAAGCUCCUCAAGUUGCUGAAUUUUCCUCAAGAGGUCCUAGCUUUGCAAGUCCUGGAAUCUUGAAACCAGACAUUAUAGGCCCUGGAGUAAGAAUUUUAGCUGCCUGGCCAGUUUCAGAAGACAAUACUACCAACAAGUUUGCUAUGAUCUCCGGCACUUCAAUGUCCUGUCCUCAU